rnacentral:lncRNA from 1 species
GUUGUCCCAGCCAGCGGCCACCUGGGUCCUGGUGAUGGUUUUGCCUGCUAGGUCUACCCUUGGAUGUGGGCUCAGCCAGUGAUGUCUCUCUUGGGGCUGAAAGCCAACUUCCUUCCCAAACUGGGCAGGACAGGUCAAAUCAGCAAGUUUGAAAUGAUUCAUAGACAAAGGUGUGGCCACAUCAAUCUUGUGCCGUGGGUGGAACCAACCAGCAGCUGUCCCUCUUUCCCGUGUCCCAGCUAGUCAUUGUUGACAACAUACAUCAAAGGGACCAAAUGCGUCCCCCACAGAGGCUUUGCCUAGAUCCCCUUCACCAGCUUCACUCCAACAUCCACUCAAGCCCAGGGAAUAGAAUCAAAGUGGUCUACUAAACAUCUGAUCACAAGCAUAUUCACAUGAUGCCGGUGACCCCAAACUGCUUCCACCAACCCAGUGGAGGGGCUGCAGGGCAGAGGGGCACAGUGUAGCCCAUUACCCAGAAACCAAACUGGGGGCCAAGGAGCGUUUGAAUCAGCACCUUUCUCUGGGGAUUCUGCUACUCCACUUUUUCCUUUGAUCAGACAAACAU